CGGGACUCGAGGAUCCUCGGGGGUCCCGUCCAGCACGGGGUGUUCCGUGGUCCCACGCGUGGAGCCGCCCUCCGGGAAGGUGUCUGCGGAAUCACAGAGUCGUAGAAUGGCUUAGCGUGGAAGGAACCUUAAAGAUCACCGAGCCCUAACUCCUGCCGCGGGCAGGGCUGCCCCCCACCAGCUCAGGCUGCUCAGGGCCCCGUCCAACCUGGCCUUGAGCGCCUCCGGGGAUGGGGAAGGUGGGCUGCGGUCGGAUGGGAGUGCUGCUUCUGGCACAGUGUCCGAGCUUACUUCUGUGAGGUCCUCAGAAAGAGCUGGCAUGAAGUCUGGACUUAACCUGCAAAUUAUCGGUGGUAAGCAUGCAGCUGCAGAAGACACAGAAAAAGCUGCUGUGGAAGGACAGCCCUUCCCCAGGCUGACAUUCCACAGUUGGGAAAUAUUGGAUUAAGCUUGCCUGCUAGGACCAUAGAAUGGCCUGGGUUGAAAAGGAUCUCAAAGAUCAUGUAGUUUCAACCCCCUGCUAUGUGCAGGGUCUCCAACCACCAGACCAGGCUGCCCAGAGCCACAUCCAGCCUGGCCUUGAAUGCCUCCAGGGAUGGGGCAUCCACAGCCUCCUUGGGCAACCUGUUCCAGUGUGUCAUCACCCUCUGAGUGAUGAUGUGGGCUGUCCUUACGCCUGUGGUCACUGUCAGCUCACAGGCACACACACCGGGCUCUGUGAGCGCAGGGAGCUGCCCCAGGGGCACACAGCCACCUACGGCUCCUUCUGCAGAGCUGACCCACUGGGUUGGACCCACUGCUGGCUUUUGGCACAGAUGCUUCAUGUGCCCUAAGACCUGGUCAGAACUGUUAAUGUCACUGUAUCCCUUACGCCAGAGUUUCUUCUGCAACAGGGUGGUUUUUAUCCUCAGUAUUGGAGCAUGGCCUGCACUGCUCUUCCCACCCAAUAGAGUCAAAGUAUGUUAUUCAUUAUUCACCGAAAGGUACUUUAAUAUUUCACCUGAGUUUCAUUAAUGGGACAGGGAAUGGAAAGGCUAAGUUUUAAUGCUAUGGAAGGGACGGCAGCCAUCCAAACUGGAGUGGGCUCACAAGACACAGACUUGCAGGAAGCAGCAUCAUAACCCUCACCAGGGAUAAAACCUGGCAUUUAGGGAAGCGGCUGUCAGGCACUCAUCCUGCAUCUCUCUUCAACAUCCUUAUGAGCCACGGACUCAGGCCAGCGCACACAGUCAAACGAAGCCAGUGUCAGACAGCAGUCCGCUUGUCUGAAAGAUGCAGGUCCUGCCAACCCUGUGACUCUCCACAGCAGUAAGUGUAUCUUCAUUUUGGAGGUCCUGUAGCAUUUCUAUCCUGCCCUCUCUGAGUUGUUGCCAUUAAUUUUUUAGCUUUUCAUUACUUACCUCCUCUCUGAAGAGCCCCUCCGACAGGCCUGUCCCCCUGUCCUGACUGCGGGGCAACAGAGUGCCAGGGGCUGAAGUUAAACUUCAGUUAACAGUUUGUGCUUGCAGCCCAUAAGGGCAACUGUAUCCUGGGCUGCAUCAGAAGAGGGGUGGCCGGCAGGGAGAGGAAGGGGAUUGUCCCCCUCUACUCUGCCCUUGUGAGGCCCCACCUGCAACACUGCGUCCAGGCCUGGGGCUCCAGCACAAGAAUGAUGUGAAGCUGCUGGAGCAAGUCCAGAGUAGGGCCACAAAGACGAUCAGAGUGCUGGAGCACCUCUCAGAUGAAGUCAGGCUAGGGGAUUUGGGGUUGUUCAGCCUGAAGAAGAGAAAGUUCUGAGGAGACCUCAUUGUGGCCUUCUGGUACUAAAAGAGAUCUUACAAAUGGAAGUGGAACUGACUUUUUACACUCUCUGACAGUGACAGGACAGGAAGGAUGGCUUUUAACUAAAAGAGGGGAGGUUUGGUUUAGAUGUUGGGAGGAAAUUCUUUCCUCAGAGCGCAGUGAGGCACUGGCACAGCUGCCCAGAGAAGCUGUGGUGCCCCAUCCCUGGAG
rnacentral:lncRNA from 1 species